rnacentral:lncRNA from 1 species
UUUCAUAAACCUUUUUUCUUGGAUCUUCUUAAUAUGUCAUUUGCGUUAAUUAUUCUCAGAAAAGAUUUGAUGUGAAACAAAAGUUUAAGUUGCAGGAAAAAGAGAGGCUUAUGUAUCACGAUGAGACAUAUUAACCUAAUCAAAGAAUAAUUUUUGGAAAAAGUAUUCGUAUUUACCAAAAAUAUAACUAAAUGGAUACCAAAUUCAACAUGCACAUAUAUAAUUGUACACUUUAGAAUUAAAGAGAAAUAAUAUUCCACCUGAAAAGAGCAACCAUUCAAUAAGAAC